AAUUUAGGUUCUAACCAACUUACCUUCAUCAGCAAAGAAUUGUUUUCUGGCCUCCGUAAUUUGACUUUAUUAUCUUUAUGGAAUAACAAAAUAAAAUCAGUUGAAGACGAUUCGUUUUCCCAUCUCAUUGCCUUGACGGAACUGUAAGUUUUUUAUUCUAUUCGUUACUUUUCUUGGGGACGGUUUAUAAGGCACCUUAAUUUGGAAGCGACUAUAUAAGAUAGGAAUAAACCAAUCGUAGGAGCUACGUUGCACUAAUACUACCACUGGAACUCCCUAUUUGAACUUUUUUUACAUUAAUUUUAAAUAAGGGAUCUUACAGAAAAUCCUUUAACUGAGAUUGGGGCUAAAGCUUUUGUGGCUUCCUGGUACCCUCAUGGCAUUAAAUUAAUACUUGACCAAAAUUUUCUUUGCUGCUCGCGGGUGCUCUACAAUGAAUUAAGCUAUGUUAAUGGAAACUGCACUUUUAAAGGGAACCUAGAAAUCUUUCAUGCUUUUAAUAAAGCUA